GCCUUCGUGGUGUAAUGGUCAGCACACUGAGCCGGUAUUUCAGAGGUCCGUGGUUCGACCCCCGGCGAAGGCA
rfam:Stegodyphus mimosarum contig42334, whole genome shotgun sequence.